rfam:Acetobacter orientalis 21F-2 DNA, contig: Abor_014.
CCAGACGGUUGGACGGUCGCUGCCUUGCUUUGCAAGGGAGAGGAAAGUCCGGGCUCCACGGAAGAACGGUGCCGGUUAAUGACCGGCGAGGGCGACCUUAGGGAAAGUGCCACAGAAAACAAACCGCCUUCCGGGUACCACUCAUGGGCAACCAUGGGACGGAAUACUGAAGGUAAGGGUGAAACGGUGCGGUAAGAGCGCACCGCUCGGCUGGUAACAGCGGAGGCAUGGUAAACCCCACCGGGAGCAAAACCAAAUAGGAGCGGCAGAAACCCUUAACGGGGUUUCAGGGGUCUUUCGCCCCGCUGCUCGGGUUGGUUGCACGAGGUUUGCCGCAAGGCAAACCCUAGAUGAAUGACCGUCCAGGCCCUUUAUUGGGCUGGACAGAACCCGGCUUAUAGACCGUCUGGCCCU